CAAAGUCUACAUUAAUUGUGUGAAUGCUGAUUCAGCAACUUUCUUUGGUCGCCUCUAACUUCUGCACACGUUCAGCUACAAAAACCAUUCAAAUAUCAAAAUGUUCAGCGCUUUAAGCACAUGA